AUCUUAUCAAGAGUGGCAGAGGGACUGGCCCUAUGAAGCCACAGCAACCGGUCUUGUUUUAAUAAUAAUAGACAAGAUGCUGGUGCUAAUUCCUGUCUCGGUUGUUGGGAAGAGAUAAGAU
rnacentral:ncRNA from 2 species